CCAGACUCCUACGGGAGGCAGCAGUGGGGAAUAUUGCACAAUGGGGGGAACCCUGAUGCAGCGACGCCGCGUGGGCGAGGAAGUAUUUCGGUAUGUAAAGCCCUAUCGGCAGGGAAGAAGAAAUGACGGUACCUGAAUAAGAAGCACCGGCUAAAUACGUGCCAGCAGCCGCGGUAAUACGUAUGGUGCAAGCGUUAUCCGGAUUUACUGGGCGUAAAGGGAGCGUAGACGGUGAAGCAAGUCUGAAGUGAAAGGCGGGGGCUCAACCCCCGGACUGCUUUGGAAACUGUUUGACUGGAGUGCAGGAGAGGUAAGUGGAAUUCCUAGUGUAGCGGUGAAAUGCGUAGAUAUCAGGAGGAACACCGGCGGCGAAGGCGGCCUGCUGGACCGUGACUGACGUUGAGGCUCGAGAGCGUGGGGAGCAAACAGGAUUAGAUACCCUAGUA
rnacentral:rRNA from 1 species